CGUUCUCUGCAUGCCAACAUCUAGCUGAUGAAGCACCCUCAUUACCAAGUGAGCAAAAAGAGCUCAGGCUUUACAAGCAACAUGUUGAUAGUCUGCACCAAUUGGCAUGUUGUACUGUCUCCCACAACCGGUACUCUGAGCAUGGCUGCAAUCAUGAACAAGAGCACUCAUCUGGACAUACUGCCUUUGCCUAGGGAUAAUUCAGCUGAUAGUGGCCAAGAAGAUGGAGGCUCUCGGGAGUUUGAAUUCAAGCCUCAUCUCAAUUCUCAAUCGUCGUAAUUAUAUGACCCAAGACACCGGGCGGUGGGCGGCAACGGCGACGACUGAGAAGGCGUUGUCGUACAGGUAAUCAGGUUAGUACUAGGUUCUAGGGCUGGAAAAAUAGCUCGCGGCUCGCGAGCCAACUCGAGCUCGUCUCGACUCGGCUCUGCUCGUAGUGGGCUCGCGAACCAAUGAAUCAGAUACGGUUCAAGAAAGAGACAGAGCCACCUGAAACAGGGAACUGUGGUGAGCAAUCCCGCAUGGGCUGGCGGGCUGUUUAACUUGGAUCCAGAUGAGGAAGACAUUUCUGCUGCUAGAAGCAGGUGGUGCUUUGGAUCAGCAACCACCAACAGAUGAGACACAGUGGUUGUUCUAUUGGGCAUGCGUGCUUGCACAAGAGGUGCUCCCGGGGAAUCUAUAUGAUGAGAAGAACGGCAAAGUUGUGGACAGUGACGAUGUGAAGAGUGGGCCGGGAUCAACGGCUACGGCUGAAUUGCCGGUCUCUAAUGGGAAUCGAUCCAGAGGCCAUAGCAAAUGUCAAAAGCUAACCCACAACUGAAGCAUGAUUCGAGUCAUGUUAUUUAGCCUUUUUAUAUUAAAAGGAAAAAUGGAAUGCAUAGGCAAUAACGUCAGAGAUAUUUAAACUGACAUUCUAGAGGUACACAGGCCAACAGGCAAAAAAAACUACACUUUAUUACACACCUAUCCAUUUCAACAGCAGGCUCGAGCCUCUUACAGAGCAAUUAGGCAAGUCGGCUGAAUGUAAUCAGUAACUUCAGAAGCGAUUGGUUGGUCACAGUUCAAAAGGAGAUUCUUUUAUUCUACCCUAUUCCUGUAGUGGCCGGCCUUUGGCUGUUUCCGGUGCUCCUUCUCGAGUGUGAAAUGCCUGACCUCAUGUGAGCUACCGCAAAGUGUAUGCUUUAAUUUUGCACGGUGGAGAACAAAAGUUG